rnacentral:rRNA from 1 species
AGCUCCAGUAGCGUAUAUUAAAGUUGUUGCAGUUAAAAAGCUCGUAGUUGGAUUUCUGGUGUUGGGAGGCCCCGCCCGCCGCGAUUCGCGUGUGAGUUGUGGGGCGUCCCCGCCAUCCUUCUGGUGAGCCCGCCUACCCUUCAUUGGGCCGGGCGGUGCGACCCAGAUCGUUUACUUUGAGUAAAUUAGAGUGUUCAAAGCAGGCUUGCGCUAUGAAUACAUCAGCAUGGAAUAAUAACUUAGGACUUUCGGUCCUAUUUUGUUGGUUUCUAGGAUUGAAGUAAUGAUUGAUAGGGAUAGUUGGGGGUGCUCGUAUUUAGCGGCCAGAGGUGAAAUUCUUGGAUUCGCUAAAGACGAACUUAUGCGAAAGCAUUCACCAAGGAUGUCUUCUUUAAUCAAG